GUGGCAUUCACUGGGCGUUCCUUAUAUCACAGUGGCUAUAUGCAGUCAAGUAACGUUGGGGUCAGGUCGUGUCUAGAUCACGUUCACGUUGGGGUCAGGUCGUGUCUAGAUCACGUUCACGUCGUGUUCUGGUCGUGUCUGUCAUGUUCACGUUGGGGUCAGGUCGUGUCUAGAUCACGUUCACGUCGUGUUUGUCAUGUUCACGUUGUGGUCAGGUCGUGUCUAGAUCACGUUCACGUUGUGGUCAGGUCGUGUCUAGAUCACGUUCACGUCGUGUUCUGGUCGUGUUUGUCACGUUCACGUUGGGGUCAGGUCGUGUCUAGAUCAUGUUCAC